rnacentral:ncRNA from 1 species
CAAGACGAUCCAACAACGCAUAACGUUGUACUCAUAAUAUACUGACAAAGUAACCUUGAAAUCGUGAGGGAUGACCUCAUUUAAUCUCCAGUAGCAAUUUUGUUCAGUAUUGGAGGUGUUAUGCGUCUGGAUCGUCUUAC